UAUUAUUAUUAUUAGAAAUGAGGAUUAAACUGACAACAUCACAAAAGUUCGGCUGACUGUUAUAUUUAGAAUUAACUCGAACGGAAUUUCGCAAUGUCAAGUUUUCUAUUCGUUAAGAUGUGUUGCAGGAGGGCACUUGGCUUAAUGAAUAUCACAUACAACAGUGAAUCAAAAUACACGUGUAAUCGACCGAAAUCUUCUCAGCCCGUGCUGUACUCCAGGACCCAUAUUUACUAAAGUUCGUAGACGUAGACGUAAACGUAGGAUUUACGUCUGACUUAAGAUUAGAGUUACGUACUCGUGAAAUGGUAUUUACAAAACCGUUCGUAGCCGCAACGUAACUUACGAUGUACGAUUGCACGUACGCGUGCGCAGUGGCUAUUUUCACUUCGAAGCGUAAAAAGUGUGAAUUUGCUCAUUUACUUUGAAUUCCCUGCGCUACCGCCGCAUUAUAACGAAAAAGAACACAGAACUUUGUGAGAAAGCAACGAAUUUCAAAGUAUACGUAUGCCUGCCAACGGCAUGUCGAUCAACUGUACCGUUAUUCAGUGUUGUUUACAAAUCCAAAUGGAAGGUUCAUCAAAUUUAACGCAUUUGACUUGUGCAUGGAUCUGCGAUGCUGUAGGUGUUCAAAAAGAAGUCGGCAUGGACUGACAAGUCAUAAAGGUGGUCAAGAAAUAAAUUGCCAACAGACAGCAGCAUUCCUUGAUUUAGAUGCAUUUCUCUUCAUGUCCUCUCCUGAAAGAUUUUCCAUGAUGCCUCAGGGUUAGGAUUGGGAUGCAAGAUGUACAGUACAUAUAUAUGAUGUCUAUGGGUACAUUGCUGUAAUGGCCUGAAAAAUCUUUUGCGAAACCGAGAAAUGCUCAUCUUCCAUUGCCUUGAUUGUGUAAAAGGACAAGCAGAGGAAUGAUUCAAAAAUAUAUGGCAGGAUUGAGAAUAUAACCCAUGACCCGUAGUGUGGUACUCUACCCACUGAUCAAUCCAUGCUGAUGGUCCAUCUGCUACAUUGAUGUCAUCUUAUAUAUUUAUUUAUUCAUUUAUAUCAUAUGGACAUUUAAAAAUUGACAGUAAAAUAAAAAAAAGUUUGAUAUUCAGCAAAAUAGAAUUUUUUUUACAAUACAUGUUUAAGAAAUUAAGUACAUGUACAUGCAUUGUUAUGCAUACAAUUAUGUACAUGUAAUUAUAUUUGUUAAUAGAUAACUUUUUAGAUGAAUUUUCAUGUUGUUAUUGAUAUUGACAUGUACAUGUAUUACUUCCAUUUCUAGAAUGAUUUUAACAUCUUGAUAUUAAAAAGAUGACAUAAUAAAUAAAUCUUAAAUAUUUGUCAACAAA